AUUGCCCAGUUCUGGAUAUGAAGACAAUCAAGAAAAGAUUUGGUGUUCUUGAUUGUCUUCAUAUCUAGAACUGGGCAGU
ensembl:miRNA MIR4782 microRNA 4782